UACAGAGGGUGCGAGCGUUGUUCGGAAUUAUUGGGCGUAAAGGGCGCGUAGGCGGUGCGGUAAGUCACCUGUGAAAUCUCCUGGCUCAACUGGGAGCUUGCAGGCGAAACUGCCGUGCUGGAGUGCGGAAGAGGUGAGUGGAAUUCCCGGUGUAGCGGUGAAAUGCGUAGAUAUUGCUCGGAAGGCCAACGGCGAAGGCAGGUUACUGGUACGCAACUGACGCUGAGGCACGAAAGCGUGGGGAGCAAACAGG
rnacentral:rRNA from 1 species